rnacentral:rRNA from 2 species
UCGAUACCUGUUCAAAACAGAACGACCCGUGAACUAACGAUCACUACUCACGGUAAGCCGGGUUCUUAGUCGAUCC